rnacentral:rRNA from 1 species
UACGUAGGGGGCAAGCGUUGUCCGGAAUCAUUGGGCGUAAAGCGCGUGUAGGCGGCUGAGUAAGUCUGCUCUGAAAGCCCGGGGCUCAACCCCGGGAGGCGGGUGGAUACUGCUCAGCUCGAGUCCGGAAGAGGAGUGUGGAAUUCCUGGUGUAGCGGUGAAAUGCGCAGAUAUCAGGAGGAACACCAAUGGCGAAGGCAGCACUCUGGGACGGUACUGACGCUGAGACGCGAAAGCUAGGGGAGCAAACAGG